UUCCACUUGGCCAGGCCCUGCUGCCAGUUCUCUUCGGAGCAUAAAUAAAGGGACCCUCAUCCAGGAGGCCAGUGAAAUGAGAGGAGAAGCAGGAGGAGAGUGCAGCCAUCAUGUUUGGAGAGCUGAGGGGAGGAAGGGCCCUGAUCAAAGGAGCCUUGUCAGUCACAGCUGUAUCUUCAAGUCUGGAGAGAGUGUUCGAGUUCACUGAGAACAGGGAACUGGGCGUUGGGCUGGCACCGUGGAGCUCCUGCUGUUCUCGUCACAGUGGUCUCAGUGCAGUGGUGGGGACUGAACCCAGCAGCAGUGGGUUGAGGAGCCCAACCCAGAGUCUGGAGGGGAAUGUGUGUGCCUCACCCGUGAGUCCCCUGCACCUGCCGACAGACCGAGUCAGACCCACACGGGCCAAAGGAGGAAAGGCUGUGCCCCUCGUGGGCCUCCUGGGGCACCUGGCCUGCCCUGCCUCGCUGCUCGAGGCUUGGAUGCUUCCACGCACACCAUCAUGCGCCACACUUGCAAGGCCGCCAGCGCCCAGGAAGAUUCCCUGGGAAUCAGGAGGGAGCUGCCCAUGCGCCUGAAUGUGCUCGCUGGUUGUGCCAGCAGGAGGCAGCGUCACCCACAGCUCUGCUGUGGGGUUUGCGGAAUUGUGAUUCUCCUGG
ensembl:lncRNA